CAUCAGCUAGUUGGUAGGGUAAUAGCCUACCAAGGCAAUGACGGGUAGGGGACCUGAGAGGGUGGCCCCCCACAAUGGAACUGAAACACGGUCCAUACACAUACGGGUGGCAGCAGUAGGGAAUAUUAGAAAUGGGCGAAAGCCUGAUCUAGCAACACCGCGUGUGCGAUGAAGGCCUUCGGGUUGUAAAGCACUUUUUGGAGGGAAUAGGAAGGAAGGUACCUCCAGAAUAAGUCUCGGCUAACUACGUGCCAGCAGCCGCGGUAACACGUAGGAGGCAAACGUUAUCCGGAUUCACUGGGCGUAAAGCGCGUGUAGGUGGUUCUGUAAGUAGGGCGUGAAAGCUCCCGGCUCAACUGGGAGAGGCCGUACUAAACUGCAGAGCUAGAGGAUGGUAGAGGGAGGUGGAAUUCCAGGUGUAGUGGUGAAAUGCGCAGAUAUCUGGAGGAACACCAGUGGCGAAGGCGGCCUCCUGGACCAUUCCUGACACUCAGACGCGAAAGCUAGGGUAGCAAACGGAAUUAGAGAUUCCGGUAGUCCUAGCCUUAAACGAUGCAGAUUAGGCGUCGGCGGUUUAAUCACCGUCGGUGUCCAAGCUAACGCGAUAAGUGUGCCGCCUGAGGAGUACGGCCGCAAGGCUAAAACUCAAAGGAAUUGACGGGUCCCCGCACAAGCAGCGGAGCGUGUGGUUUAAUUCGAUGCUCCGCGAAGAACCUUACCUGGGUUUGACAUAACAGUGGUAGAGAAGUGAAAACGGAUCGACCCUUCGGGGAGCUGUUACAGGUGUUGCAUGCCUGUCGUCAGCUCGUGUCGUGAGAUGUUCGGUUAAGUCCGCUAACGAGCGCAACCCACGCUGUGUGUUACAAGUGUCACACAGUACCGCCGGUAUUAAGUCGGAGGAAGGUGCGGAUGACGUCAAGUCAGCAUGACCUUUAUAUCCAGGGCUACACACACGCUACAAUGGUCAGAACAAUAGGUUGCCAAGCCGCAAGGCGGAGCCAAUCCUCCAAAUCUGUCCUCAGUUCAGAUUGCGGGCUGCAACUCGCUUGCAUGAAGUCGGAGUUGCUAGUAUCCGCAGGUCAGCAUACUGCGGUGAAUACGUUCCCGGGGAUUGUACACACCGCCCGUCAAG
rnacentral:rRNA from 1 species